rnacentral:tRNA from 1 species
GUUGAUGUGGCGGAGUUGGUCUUUGGCACCAAUCUCAGGUACUGGGCCGAAAGGGCGUGGGUUUGAAUCCCACUGUCGACA